rnacentral:rRNA from 1 species
AUGGUGGGUACAGCAGCAGCAGCAGGGUUCCUUGGUGGAUACAGCAGCAACAGCAGAAAGAGGACACCAUGGUGGGUACAGCAGCAGCAGCAGGGCUGCAUCUUCAAGGUCAGCAGCAGCAGCGGCUCGAUGGACGGUGAUCCCUUCUCCACCUCUCGUUUCAUAUGCAAGCAGCAGGCAAGAUUUCAUCCCUACAGCAGAGGACAAGGGCCUCACUUGAUCAUGCCUGCCAGUCAAGGUCGCAACCCACGGAGGGGGGACGCGCUGUUGUUCGGCAUUGGCUGCGCAAACCGCCACGCAGGAAGGCACCCUCUAUGGACGGGGAUGACCAUGAUGCAGGGGAGGAUGAGGACCGAUACAUUGAGCUCGACCACGACGGGGCACCGCACAAGGGCAUGA